AACGCGAAGAACCUUACCUGGGCUCGAACGGCUGCUGAACGGUGGUAGAAACAUCAUCCUUCCCGCAAGGGACAGUAGUCGAGGUGCUGCAUGGCUGUCGUCAGCUCGUGUCGUGAGAUGUUGGGUUAAGUCCCGCAACGAGCGCAACCCUUGUCCUGUGUUGCUAAUCGAAAGAUGCACUCUCAGGAGACCGCCAGCGAUAAGCUGGAGGAAGGUGGGGAUGACGUCAAGUCAUCAUGGCCUUUAUGUCCAGGGCUACACACGUGCUACAAUGGGCGGUACAAUGCGCUGCAAACUCGCGAGAGGGAGCCAAUCGCAAAAAACCGUUCUCAGUUCGGAUUGCAGGCUGCAACUCGCCUGCAUGAAGCUGGAAUCGCUAGUAAUGGCAUAUCAGAACGAUGCCGUGAAUACGUUCCCGGGCCUUUACACACCGUACGUC
rnacentral:rRNA from 1 species